rnacentral:rRNA from 1 species
UACGUAGGGUGCAAGCGUUAAUCGGAAUUACUGGGCGUAAAGCGUGCGCAGGCGGUGAUGUAAGACAGGUGUGAAAUCCCCGGGCUUAACCUGGGAACUGCAUUUGUGACUGCAUCGCUGGAGUGCGGCAGAGGGGGAUGGAAUUCCGCGUGUAGCAGUGAAAUGCGUAGAGAUGUGGAGGAACACCGAUGGCGAAGGCAGCCCCCUGGGCCAACACUGACGCUCAGGCACGAAAGCGUGGGGAGCAAACAGG